rnacentral:rRNA from 1 species
CCUACGGGAGGCAGCAGUAGGGAAUAUUGCUCAAUGGGGGAAACCCUGAAGCAGCAACGCCGCGUGGAGGAUGAAGGUUUUCGGAUUGUAAACUCCUUUUGUUAGAGAAGAUAAUGACGGUAUCUAACGAAUAAGCACCGGCUAACUCCGUGCCAGCAGCCGCGGUAAUACGGAGGGUGCAAGCGUUACUCGGAAGCACUGGGCGUAAAGCGCGCGUAGGCGGGAUAGCAAGUCAGAUGUGAAAUCCUAUGGCUUAACCAUAGAACUGCAUUUGAAACUGUUAUUCUAGAGUAUGGGAGAGGUAGGUGGAAUGCUUGGUGUAGGGGUAAAAUCCGUAGAGAUCAAGAGGAAUACUCAUUGCGAAGGCGACCUGCUAGAACAUAACUGACGCUGAUGCGCGAAAGCGUGGGGAGCAAACAGGAUUAGAUACCCCGGUAGUC